GACGAAGGUGGCUAGCGUUAUUCGGAUUUACUGGGCAUAAAGCGCGCGUAGGCGGCUUGGCAAGUCGGAGGUGAAAGCCUGCAGCUCAACUGCGGUGUGCCUCCGAAACUGCCGAGCUUGAGUGCGGGAGGGGUGAUUGGAACUCCAGGUGUAGCGGUGAAAUGCGUAGAUAUCUGGAGGAACACCAGAGGCGAAGGCGAAUCACUGGACCGCAACUGACGCUGAGGCGCGAAAGCUAGGGGAGCAAACAGG
rnacentral:rRNA from 1 species